GAUGAACGCUAGCUACAGGCUUAACACAUGCAAGUCGAGGGGUAACGAGAGGGAAGCUUGCUUUCCUUGUCGACGACCGGCGCACGGGUGAGUAACGCGUAUCCAACCUGCCCCCAACUAGGGAAUAACCUUGCGAAAGUAAGACUAAUACCCUAUAAUUUCCUCAGAUGUCAUCUGACGAGGAAUAAAGAUUUAUCGGUUGUGGAUGGGGAUGCGUCUGAUUAGCGUGUUGGCGGGGUAACGGCCCACCAAGGCAACGAUCAGUAGGGGUUCUGAGAGGAAGGUCCCCCACAUUGGAACUGAGACACGGUCCAAACUCCUACGGGAGGCAGCAGUGGGGAAUAUUGGUCAAUGGGCGGAAGCCUGAACCAGCCAAGUAGCGUGCAGGAUGACGGCCCUAUGGGUUGUAAACUGCUUUUAUACAGGAAUAAAGUUAGCCACGUGUGGUUAUUUGUAGGUACUGUAUGAAUAAGGACCGGCUAAUUCCGUGCCAGCCGCCGCCGUA
rnacentral:rRNA from 1 species